rnacentral:misc_RNA from 1 species
GGAAAGAGUUAACAGCUAUAAAUCAACUAAGCCGCAGUAGAAUUUCCAUUUGUCUUGGAUUCUGUUCGUACAUAUGUCAUACUCCGAGGAAUGGGAGAAGGAACUGCUUUACUCGAGGGUGUAGCCAAACCAGAGUUAUCAGUCGAUGUGGGCUGAGCAUCUCGUUUCCAUUGCAUACUUCUAGCACCAGGCCUGAUUGGGAGCCGGGACCUGUACAAAGUGGGAGAGCCUCUAGGAAAAGGGACCCGACCAAACCUAGAAACGGCAAAAGGACCACCUCUCGCAACACGAGGCCAUACAGUGCCAGACGCUGCUUCAGGAGUAGCAGAGCUUUUCCUCACAACCUUCAGAAUGCGUGACAUGAAUGAUGUUCCAUCAAGAGAUAAAGCAUUCUCUGCAGAUCCUUUUCUCAUGAACUCUACAUAAGCUGACCCUUUGGGUUGCCCAGUUCCAGCAUCAGUCAGGAUUACCACUUUAAGCACUUCUCCAAAUUUAUUAAAGUGCCGAGAAAGGCUAUCCUUUGUAGCAGCAAAAUGAACAUUGUUAACAAAG